GACGAAGGAUGCAAGCGUUAUCCGGAUUCAUUGGGUUUAAAGGGAGCGUAGGCGGCCUUGUAAGUCAGUGGUGAAAUCUCUGGGCUUAACCCAGAAAUUGCCAUUGAUACUGCAGGGCUUGAGUACAGUUGCCGUUGGCGGAAUAUGACAUGUAGUGGUGAAAUACAUAGAGAUGUCAUAGAACACCGAUUGCGAAGGCAGCUAACGAAACUGUAACUGACGCUGAGGCUCGAAAAGUGUGGGGAUCAAACAGG
rnacentral:rRNA from 1 species